UAUGUGAUCGUCUCUCGCAUAUCAAUAAGCGGAGGAAAAGAAACUAACAAGGAUUCCCCUAGUAACGGCGAGUGAAGCGGGAAGAGCUCAAAUUUGAAAUCUUAAAGGGUUUCCCUUUACGAAUUGUAGUUUAAAGAAGUGUUUUCUGUUGAGGUUUUGGUAAAAGUUCUUUGGAAUAGGACAUCAUAGAGGGUGAGAAUCCCGUAUUUGACCUUUACUUUCAACUUUGUGAUACACUUUCAAAGAGUCGGAUUGUUUGGGAAUGCAGUCCAAAAUGGGUGGUAAAUUUCAUCUAAAGCUAAAUAUUGGCGAGAGACCGAUAGCGAACAAGUACCGUGAGGGAAAGAUGAAAAGAACUUUGAAAAGAGAGUUAAACAGUACGUGAAAUUGUCAAAAGGGAAGCGCUUGACACCAGUGUUGUUUUUCUGAAAAUCAAUUAAAGAACUGUUUAUGCUAAGCUGUUUAGACUUUAUCAGCUAAUCUGUUUAGUUUUGAGCUUUUCUUUAAUGCACUUUUCAGUUAACAAGUCAACAUUCAAUUUCUUUUGCUGUAAAAAAGCUUGAGGAAGGUGGCUUGAGAUUCGUCUUAAGUGUUUAUAGCCUCUUGCCUAUGCAGUCGGAGAGAUUGAGGUCUGCAGCGUAGAUCCUUCGGGGCUAAAUGCAUUUGUGCUAAGUUAUAGCAUUUUAUAGACAACUUGUUGACUAUGAUUUGUCUUGUAGCUUACUCGCUUAUGUUAUUUUACCUACGCUUAGGAUGUUGAUAUCGCGCUCUCACUG
rnacentral:rRNA from 1 species